rnacentral:rRNA from 1 species
GAUGAACGCUGGCGGCGUGCCUAAUACAUGCAAGUCGAGCGAACAGAUGAGGAGCUUGCUCCUCUGACGUUAGCGGCGGACGGGUGAGUAACACGUGGAUAACCUACCUAUAAGACUGGGAUAACUUCGGGAAACCGGAGCUAAUACCGGAUAAUAUAUUGAACCGCAUGGUUCAAUAGUGAAAGACGGUUUUGCUGUCACUUAUAGAUGGAUCCGCGCCGCAUUAGCUAGUUGGUAAGGUAACGGCUUACCAAGGCAACGAUGCGUAGCCGACCUGAGGGGGGGAUGGGCACACUGGAACAGGAACAGGGUCCAGACCCCUAAGGGAGGGAGGAGUAGGGAAUUCUCCGCAAAGGGGGGAAACCCUGAGGGAGAAAGCCGGGGGAGGGAAGAAGGGGUUAGGGGUCGAAAAACGUUUUUUUAGGGAAAAAAAAAAGUUUAAAGAAAUUUGCCAGUUUUGACGGUAACCAAUCAAAAAAGCCCCGCUAACCCAGGG